rnacentral:rRNA from 1 species
CCUACGGGUGGCAGCAGUCGAGAAUCAUUCACAAUGGGGGAAACCCUGAUGGUGCGACGCCGCGUGGGGGAAUGAAGGUCUUAGGAUUGUAAACCCCUGUCAUGUGGGAGCGAAUUAAAAAGAUAGUACCACAAGAGGAAGAGACGGCUAACUCUGUGCCAGCCGCCGCGGUAAUACAGAGGUCUCAAGCGUUGUUCGGAAUCACUGGGCGUAAAGCGUGCGUAGGCGGUUGCGUAAGUCGUGUGUGAAAGGCGCGGGCCCAACCCGCGGACGGCACAUGAUACUGCGAGACUAGAGUAAUGGAGGGGGAACCGGAAUGCUCGGUGUAGCAGUGAAAUGCGUAGAUAUCGAGAGGAACACUCGUGGCGAAGGCGGGUUCCUGGACAUUAACUGACGCUGAGGCACGAAGGCCAGGGGAGCGAAAGGGAUUAGAUACCCCUGUAGUC